rnacentral:tmRNA from 1 species
GGGGGCGAUCCGGUUUCGACGUGGGUUGCAAAGCAGUGCAGGGCAUACCGAGGUUCAGUACCCUCGUAAAACAGCUGAAAAAAAAUAGUCGCAAACGAC